AGCCCCAACAGAGAGAUAAUGAGCCUCGAGGUACCAAAUCCACUAAGAACAAAUUAUGUUUUAAUUUUCAUUUUGAUUCCUUUUAUGUUGAUUCCAUUUACAUAUCUAUUAAAUAUUUCUCCCCCUUUUUGUCAUCGUAUCAAAAAGGAGGUAAUUAGAACACACAAUCAAUCAUAGAUCAAAUGGCACAGAAUUGCAGAAAAUAUGACUACUCAUUGUAUUGAUUUGUAUGUAAAUACAUUUGAGAAUACAAUAAGUAAAGCAAAACAAUACAUGUCAACACAAAAACAGCUAAGGUCUCCUCGAGGAUGUAACUCCUC
rnacentral:lncRNA from 1 species